rnacentral:rRNA from 1 species
UACGUAGGGGGCAAGCGUUGUCCGGAUUUAUUGGGCGUAAAGAGCGUGUAGGCGGCCAGGUAGGUCUGCUGUGAAAACUCGAGGCUCAACCUCGAGACGUCGGUUGAAACCGUACGGCUAGAGUCCGGAAGAGGAGAGCGGAAUUCCCGGUGUAGCGGUGAAAUGCGCAGAUAUCGGGAAGAACACCCGUGGCGAAGGCGGCUCUCUGGGACGGUACUGACGCUGAGACGCGAAAGCGUGGGGAGCGAACAGG